UGUUCUGCAGCUAAACUUUGAUAAAAUAUGAUUAUUAAAGCAGAAAUGUGUCCGUUGAUGAUAUUUAACUGAAUGUACGCUCAGUGUCCAGUUUAUUUGUUCCUCUAAUAUGAAUUAUAAACAACUUCUUACAAACUGAGCAGUUAAAAAUACUCACUAGUAACUAAUUAAGGGUUAUUGAUUCGGGUUAGUGCAAGUGGAAUUUAUUUCUAAAGCUGGUUUGAACAAAGUGCAACAAGACUAAUUCAAAUGUUCUUGUUUAUGAUUUGAAAAGAAAAUUUAGAAAUUCACCGAGGUAAGUUUUGCACACGAGGUCGUAUCACAUCACAGAUUUUCAGAACGAUGAUUAAAACACAUGUGGAGUCUCAGAGACCCAGAAACAGAUUUCUGUUCUGACAACCCAAACAAGUCAACCCUUCAAAAUCAUGUUUAUAAACCAUUCUAAUAAAUUAACUUGAGGGCUUUGAGGUCACCAUCACCCCAUACUGACGUUCAUUUAUUUACCUACAGUUUGAUUAACUGUGGUCUCCGACCUGCAAGAGGCUUUUUAAGUGCUCCUCAGUAUCGUCUUUUUUAAUGUUUUAUCAUGCUGUAUUUUACUUUUCAGAGCUCCAGGAUGAUUCACGUUUCCAACAGACGGUCCCUUCACUAUCAGCAUGGUGCCUUCACUGACCUGGUGUUCUACACUGUUGUCUUCCUCGCCCUGAUGAACUCAUGUAGAGCUCAGUCUGAGGUGAUCGUUCCAUCUCAGCCAGUAGUUUCAUUGGUGGGUGAAGACGUUAUUCUGCCAUGUCACCUGGACCCUGUCAUGAAUGCUUUUGACAUCACUGUGGAGUGGGCGAGACCUGACCUGAACCCCAGAUUUGUCCUCUUGUGGCGUCAAGGCGAAGAACUGAAGACUAUAAAACAUCCGUCCUUCAGUGGAAGAACAUCAGUGUUCAUCGAUGAGCUGGAGAAGGGAAACGUCUCACUGAAACUCUCCAAAGUUAAAGUCUCUGAUGAGGGAGGAUACAAAUGCUGCUUGUUGUAGGUUCUGUCUCCUCACCUGUUGUUCAGAUGACCAAAAACAACACUGGAGUGUUGUUAGAGUGUGAGUCUGCAGACUGGUAUCCAGAGCCAGAGAUGUUUUGGCUGGACGGCGAGGGAAACCUCCUCUCUGCUGAACCCACUGAGACAGUCAGAGGUCCUGAUGGUCUCUACACUGUCAGCAGCAGAGUGACUGUGGAGAAGAGACAUGGGAGGAAGUUCACCUGUAGAGUCACACAGAGGAAGAUCAACCAGACCAGAGAGAAGCACC